AUUGAACGCUAGCGGGAUGCUUUACACAUGCAAGUCGAACGGCAGCGCGGACUUCGGUCUGGCGGCGAGUGGCGAACGGGUGAGUAAUGUAUCGGAACGUGCCCAGUAGUGGGGGAUAACUACGCGAAAGCGUAGCUAAUACCGCAUACGCCCUACGGGGGAAAGCAGGGGAUCGUAAGACCUUGCACUAUUGGAGCGGCCGAUAUCGGAUUAGCUAGUUGGUGAGGUAACGGCUCACCAAGGCGACGAUCCGUAGCUGGUUUGAGAGGACGACCAGCCACACUGGGACUGAGACACGGCCCAGACUCCUACGGGAGGCAGCAGUGGGGAAUUUUGGACAAUGGGGGCAACCCUGAUCCAGCCAUCCCGCGUGUGCGAUGAAGGCCUUCGGGUUGUAAAGCACUUUUGGCAGGAAAGAAACGUCGCGGGCUAAUACCCCGUGGAACUGACGGUACCUGCAGAAUAAGCACCGGCUAACUACGUG
rnacentral:rRNA from 1 species